GAACGAGGAUAUAUCCUUCGGGAUAUAAACCGAGUGGCGCAAGGGUGAGUAAUGCAUAGAUUACCUGCCUCUAGGAUAAGGACAACUUUGUGAAAACGAAGCUAAUACUUAAUAAUACAAAAGAGAAUAAUUUUCUUUUGUCAAAGGGAGGGUAGCAAUACCUUUCGCCAAGAGAGGGGUUUAUGUCCUAUCAGCUUGUUGGUGGGGUAAUGGCCUACCAAGGCGAAGACGGGUAGCCGGUCUUAGAGGAUGGUCGGCCACACUGGGACUGAGACACUGCCCAGACUUCUACGGAAGGCUGCAGUCGAGAAUCUUUCGCAAUGCCCGAAAGGGUGACGAAGCGACGCCGCGUGAGUGAGGAAGGCCUUCGGGUUGUAAAGCUCUGUCAGGGAUUAAGAAAUAUAAGUGUGCUAAUACCACAUUUAUUUGACGAAGGUCCCAAAGGAAGCCACGGCUAACUCUGUGCCAGCAGCCGCGGUAAUACAGAGGUGGCAAGCGUUGUUCGGAAUUAUUGGGCGUAAAGAGCACGUAGGUGGGUUUGUAAGUCAGAUGUGAAAGCCUUCUGUUCAACGGAAGAAUUGCAUCUGAAACUACAAGUCUUGAGUGUAGGAGGGGAGAAUGGAACUUCUGGUGGAGCGGUGAAAUGCGUAGAUAUCAGAAGGAACGCCGGCGGCGAAAGCGAUUCUCUGGCCUAUUACUGACACUCAGUGUGCGAAAGCUAGGGGAGCAAACGGGAUUAGAUACCCCGGUAGUCCUAGCCGUAAACGAU
rnacentral:rRNA from 1 species